rnacentral:tRNA from 1 species
AGGCGCGUAGCUCAGUUGGUUAGAGCGCUACCUUGACAAGGUAGAGGUCGAUGGUUCGAGCCCAUUCGUGCCUACCA